UAUUUGAAUUCAGAGUGAAAAACCCGUUGCAUAUCAUCCUCCUGAAUACUCUCGUUUUCUCCUGCAAAUUUACAGUAUGGGCAUCCUUUUUUAACAUCUUUCGUCAAAGAAGUGGAUUCAAAGCACAUUGUGACCUCAGUAUUAUUGAUGUGCAACCAUGCAGAAAAUGCUACUUUCUCUCAACCUUGUGGAUGUUCCCUAAGGAUCAGCAGCCUCUUGAAACAGUUGAAGCCAUUAUCGAAUUCCUUGCGUCUAUGUUCCUUGGAUCUGAAAGCAGUGCAUAAUGCAGGAGAUUCCACCCAAAAGCUAACCCACAAGUCCAAGCUGAAGUGGAAUAUUUCGAAAAAUUUAGCUUUACUGCUAGAGAAAGGUUAUUUUUUUCACUUCAUCAUAGAGAGAGAUUGGGGGAGGGGUGAGGUGUAACCACAAACCUGAAUGGCUAAGCUGUAGAACUGAAAUUCCCAUUCAUGUCACUUGCAAUUUUAAUGAAUUACAGGAUUUACAAACUGACAUAACGAUUUGGGUAAAAGUCUAAAAGAUUCCAGUAUUUUCCGUAUAUUUGUAAUUACUAUUUAUGAAGUUGACCUGUUUCAUAAUGCUUAUAUAGUAGACUUGAUAUGCUCAGUCUCAUGCUCACCCCCCCCCCCCACCCCAUCUGCUUCAUAUCAGUUCUUAAAACCUGUUGCAAAUUAUACAUUGUAAGUUGGUAAUAGAGAAAAAUUGAGUGAGGUAAAUGCAAUACAAAUCGAUUCCAUUAUUAAGCAAUUAAGACUUGUUCAGGUACAGCACGUGAACCUCCAACAAAUUUCAAAAAUGAUGCUCUUUUUAAUAAUAUACACUAUGUAAAGCAUAUUGAACUCUAUGUCAACAUUAAAAAAACUGCGAUUUUGACUGUUUUGCAGCAUCAUAUCUGAGCGACCCUUAAAGGGACUUGGCAACAUUGUUCAGAUGAGAGAAAAUGGUGCUAAGGUAUUGACUUCAAUGCUAUAUGUACACUUAAAGAUAAUCUGAAAGUUUGAGUGAAAAAAACCAUUAUUGAUGAUAAAAAUUGGGAACAACUGAUCUGAUCCAUUCCUUAAUUCUCUUAACUAUAUUAUUAUAAUUGGCCUGUUUUAUAUCUUAUUUUCAUGGAAAAACAGUUGGGGAAAAUUCAAAAAUUUGUUGGGAGAAUGAAGUGUUAAAGAGUGACACACAGUGGCGCCUUCAAAGAAAACCAUAAAUAUCUUUGUGGUUUGAGAAUUUUUUGGUAGUUAAAAGUCUAAAAUUCUUGGAUUGUAUCUGUGAUUUUGAGAGCACUAUAUGGCUUACCUAUAUUGAAUUCGCUGUUAAAAUUAUAAGUUAAAAUUAUUUUUUUGUGAAACUCCCCCCAGGAGUUUCAAACGUGCCAAAUGAAUGUUGUGACAAUUAGCAAUGGAAUAUAUCUCUUUGUGCUAAAAAUUUUCAGCAUGUUUGCUAUUUUAUCUUAAACUUGGAAAUAUCUUCUGAAUAAUUAUUGCACAGUCACCUUGGAAUUGCCCAACAGAGCCACUCGUACUGGCGGGAAUGUUAUCUGAUAGAAAUUGUAUUUUUAUACUUGAACUUAUUUUGCAACAAAAUGUUUUUUGAUGAUACCUAUAUUUAUAAAAUAUGAAUGUUGCCACUAAUGCCUUUUCUUGUAUUUAAGUCAUGUGCCAGUAAGAAGCAGGUUUCUAGCACAGAGAAUAGGUACAGUUGAGCUGAUUUCUGCACAGUUUUCAAAUAUGCUGUAUCGCCAAAUGUGAACAUCGUGGUUUCAACGGGCAAGCAACCAUCAUCAGAAAACUCUGCAGGUAUCAGUGAAGCUGUCCCUGUUCCCCUUGCUGCCAACUUGUUCCUUUUGAGUGUAAGAAAUAACUUAGCUAAGCCAUGUGUUUAUCAUUUGUGCCAUUUUUCUCUUGUGUGUGAUUUAGAUUGUAUAGUUUUAUACUUUAUACUGAAUUCUUGCCAUAAACUUAGAUAUUCCCCUUUUAUUUAACAAGUAUUGAUCUUUCAUGCUCAGGAAUUGUUUCCAACAACCUUUGUUUUAUGUAAUAGUCUUUAUCUGCAUUAAAGUCUUGGGGUUGUGAGGAGCAGUGUUGCAGCAUGGAGACGAGGUAGAGCUGCACUGAUGAAUGCCCAGCUUUCCACUGUGCUGUUUUGCUGAAUAUGAGGAACUUCCCAAGUCUGCUGUUUUCUUGUCUACUAAACAACUGCGGGUAUCAGUGUAGCUUUACCUAGUCUCUAUGCUGCUAACCUGCUUCACACAACCGCAAGACGUAUAAGUUACCAGGUAAGCCAAUAUAUGUCAUAGUUUCUUGUAACUGAAUUAAAUUUGAAAUGAAGUAGCACAAUUUAUAACAAAACAAAUAUCUUUGUGAUGGCCUGUUAACUUUCUUAAAAUCAAUUAUGAGACUGACAGAAAUACACUAGGUAUUUAUACAGCAUGUUUUGGAAGAAGUGUCAGGAUGGUGAUGGAAAGAUUCUGUAUGUAUAGAAGACAAGUUAAAUAGAAGAAGGUAUAAAAAUAAAUAUUCUAUAUUUUUAUUAUCCAUUUUGAUACCAUAUACAUGUACAUUAAAAAUAUGAAAAUUA
rnacentral:lncRNA from 1 species